UACGAAGGGGGCUAGCGUUGUUCGGAAUUACUGGGCGUAAAGGCGUGCGCAGGCGGUGAUGUAAGACAGUUGUGAAAUCCCCGGGCUCAACCUGGGAACUGCAUCUGUGACUGCAUCGCUGGAGUGCGGCAGAGGGGGAUGGAAUUCCGCGUGUAGCAGUGAAAUGCGUAGAUAUGCGGAGGAACACCGAUGGCGAAGGCAAUCCCCUGGGCCUGCACUGACGCUCAUGCACGAAAGCGUGGGGAGCAAACAGG
rnacentral:rRNA from 1 species